rnacentral:lncRNA from 1 species
UCCACAUUUGCAAAGACCUCCUGAAGUUCACUCCGGGGUGCAGAUGGCUCCUAAGUCACCCGAAUUCUUUUGGAGGCAGAAUCUUCAUCCCUUUGAGGUGUUUUCUCUUUGCAACCUAGUCUGCCUGAGGUUCUGACCCUUUUGGCUGAGUUUCUACUGGGACUCCUUUGAGAACGAACCUCAGGAGGGAUAGAGUCUUGACCCUUUCUUCCUUCGAGCGUCCUCCUUAGAUGCUUUAGGUCGUUACGGGCUUGGUGGCAGUCUCUCUCAACCCC